GACGAACGCUGGCGGCGCGCCUAACACAUGCAAGUCGAACGAGCGAGAGAGAGCUUGCUUUCUCGAGCGAGUGGCGAACGGGUGAGUAACGCGUGAGGAACCUGCCUCAAAGAGGGGGACAACAGUUGGAAACGACUGCUAAUACCGCAUAAGCCCACGACCCGGCAUCGGGUUGAGGGAAAAGGCGCAAUCCGCUUUGAGAUGGCCUCGCGUCCGAUUAGCUGGUUGGUGAGGUAACGGCCCACCAAGGCAACGAUCGGUAGCCGGACUGAGGGGUUGAACGGCCACAUUGGGACUGAGACACGGCCCAG
rnacentral:rRNA from 1 species